rnacentral:rRNA from 1 species
AUUGAACGCUGGCGGCAGGCCUAACACAUGCAAGUCGAGCGGAUGAAGGGAGCUUGCUCCUGGAUUCAGCGGCGGACGGGUGAGUAAUGCCUAGGAAUCUGCCUGGUAGUGGGGGAUAACGUCCGGAAACGGGCGCUAAUACCGCAUACGUCCUGAGGGAGAAAGUGGGGGAUCUUCGGACCUCACGCUAUCAGAUGAGCCUAGGUCGGAUUAGCUAGUUGGUGGGGUAAAGGCCUACCAAGGCGACGAUCCGUAACUGGUCUGAGAGGAUGAUCAGUCACACUGGAACUGAGAGACGGUCCAGACUCCUACGGGAGGCAGCAGUGGGGAAUAUUGGACAAUGGGCGAAAGCCUGAUCCAGCCAUGCCGCGUGUGUGAAGAAGGUCUUCGGAUUGUAAAGCACUCUAAGUUGGGAGGAAGGGCAGUAAGUUAAUACCUUGCUGUUUUGACGUUACCAACAGAAUAAGCACCGGCUAACUUCGUG